GAUGAACGCUAGCGACAGGCUUAACACAUGCAAGUCGAGGGGCAGCAUAAAAGUAGCAAUACUUUGGUGGCGACCGGCGCACGGGUGAGUAACGCGUAUGCAACCUACCUAUCAGAGGGGGAUAACCCGGCGAAAGUCGGACUAAUACCGCAUAAAACAGGGGCACCGCAGUGGUGGAUAUUUGUUAAAAAAUUUAUUGCUGAUAGAUGGGCAUGCGUUCCAUUAGGUAGUUGGAGAGGUAACGGCUCACCAAGCCAACGAUGGAUAGGGGAACUGAGAGGUUGGUCCCCCACACUGGUACUGAGACACGGACCAGACUCCUACGGGAGGCAGCAGUGAGGAAUAUUGGUCAAUGGGCGAGGAGCCUGAACCAGCCAAGUCGCGUGAAGGAAGAAGGAUCUAUGGUUCGUAAACUUCUUUUGCAGGGGAAUAAAGGUGCAGGACGUGUCCUGUUUUGUAUGUACCCUGAGAAUAAGGAAUCGGCUAACUCCGUGCCAGCAGCCGCGGUAA
rnacentral:rRNA from 1 species